rnacentral:lncRNA from 1 species
UGAAUUCUCACAAAUGGGCACAUGAUCUCAAUCAUUUGGCUAGGUAAGUAAAUGGUCUAAUGUGAAUGAAGAAGAGGGUUCAAAUGCAUCAUUUCAAGGUGGUUAUCACUCAAGAACAAGGAGCUUGAUCAUUAUGCAAAAUUUAUCUAAGACUAGAAGCAAUUCAUGCAUACAUAAAUCCAUUCUCAUCGUUCUACCUUUUUCCUAAGUGAUUACAAGCUUUACCCUUUUCAUCCCCAUCCUAAAGCCGAAAUAGCACCCACUCACAUCACUCACCCAAUGAACAACUCUCUUUUUCUUUAGAUUCAACCAACUAGGGACUUUUAUUCACUUUUUACAACACUUAGCUCUAACUCUUUCUCAUUUCCCUUCCCACCUUCUCAUUGAUUCUCUUUUCUUUUCUCUUUUUUUUUUAUUAUAAGGGAGAAGGUUGUUUUGUACACAAUCUAGAGCUUCCUUCUUUCCUUUUGUCCCUAGGAUUUUUUUUUUCUUUUCCCAUGACACUUUGUUCAUCUUUCUCACUCCC